AGUGAACGCUGGCGGUAGGCCUAACACAUGCAAGUCGAACGGCAGCACAGUAAGAGCUUGCUCUUACGGGUGGCGAGUGGCGGACGGGUGAGGAAUACAUCGGAAUCUACUUUUUCGUGGGGGAUAACGUAGGGAAACUUACGCUAAUACCGCAUACGACCUACGGGUGAAAGCAGGGGAUCUUCGGACCUUGCGCGAUUGAAUGAGCCGAUGUCGGAUUAGCUAGUUGGCGGGGUAAAGGCCCACCAAGGCGACGAUCCGUAGCUGGUCUGAGAGGAUGAUCAGCCACACUGGAACGGAGACACGGUCCAGACUCCUAAGGGAGGCAGCAGUGGGGAAUAUUGGACAAUGGGCGCAAGCCUGAUCCAGCCAUACCGCGUGGGUGAAGAAGGCCUUCGGGUUGUAAAGCCCUUUUGUUGGGAAAGAAAAGCAGCAGGUUAAGACCCCGCUGUUCUGACGGUACCCAAAGAAUAAGCACCGGCUAACUUCGUG
rnacentral:rRNA from 1 species